rnacentral:rRNA from 1 species
CUCAGAGCGAACGUUAGCGGCGGGCCUAACACAUGCAAGUCGCCGCGAGAAAGGGGCUUCGGCCCUGAGUACAGCGGCGGACGGGUGAGUAACACGUAGGUAACCUGCCCUUUAGUCGGGGGACAACGGUCCGAAAGGACCGCUAAUACCGCAUAAGUUCCCAGGAGCUCCGGCUCCGGGGAGGAAAGCCUCGCAAGGGGCGCUGAAGGAGGGGCCUGCGUCGCAUCAGCUAGUUGGUGGGGUAACGGCCUACCAAGGCGAAGACGCGUAGCUGGUCUGAGAGGAUGAUCAGCCACACUGGGACUGAGACACGGCCCAGACUCCUACGGGAGGCAGCAGUGGGGGAAUAUUGGACAAUGGGGGCAACCCUGAUCCAGCCACGCCGCGUGAGUGAUGAAGGCCUUCGGGUCGUAAAGCUCUGUGGGGAGGGACGAACGUCCGGGUGAAGAAUCCGGGGUGACGGUACCUCCUUAGCAAGCACCGGCUAACUUCGUGCCAGCAGCCGCGGUAA